rnacentral:lncRNA from 1 species
CUCUGCCAUUGUUACCAUUGUAUCCAAAGAUGGAGACCUGGUCCUGGGUUCAGAUGGCAAAAUGUACCAGAUCCAGAAAGGACCACCGGGACGAAUGGGUCCCCCAGGGCAGGAAGGCUGUCCUGGUGAGCCUGGCCUGCUUGGGUUUAAAGGUGAUAAGGGUAAGUUGGGCCCUGAAGGGCGUCCAGGAAAGAUGGGGGAGCCAGGACCUCCAGGGCCGGCAGGUUUACCAACCUUCUACCUGUGGAAGAACACAGCAGAGGAAUGGGCUGCCUUUCAGGUAAGAUAAUAACCAUAAUGUACUCCUUCUUUUGUUUAGUGCAAUAUCUACAGUAAGUAGUUUUCCUUCUA